rnacentral:rRNA from 1 species
GAUGAACGCUGGCGGCGUGCCUAACACAUGCAAGUCGAGCGGCGGAUUGUUGCUUGCAACAUUUCUUAGCUGCCGACGGGUGAGUAACACGUGGGUAACCUGCCCUCAACAAAGGCAUAACAAUGAGCAAUCAUUGCUAAUACCUUAUAAGCUUACACUAUCGCAUGAUAAAGUAAGAAAAGUUUUAUCGUUUUAGGAUUGGCCCGCCUCUGAUUAGCUAGUUGGAAAGGUAACGUCUCACCAAGGCGACGAUCAGUAGCCGACCUGAGAGGGUGAUCGGCCACAUUGGGACUGAGACACGGCACAAACUCCUACGGGAGGCAGCAGUGGGGAAUAUUGCACAAUGGAGGAAACGCUGAUGCAGCAACGCGGCGUGAAGGAAGAAGGUUUUCGGAUCGUAAACUUGUAUCUAAAGGGAAGAAAAAAAUGACGGUACCUGAGUAAGAAGCCCCGGCUAACUACGUG